AUGAUGCCACGGCAACAUAUCGGUUAUCCGGUAGCCCACAGGGAUACCGGUGCAAAAGGAAGUGAAGGGAGCGUGUCAUGCCAGGAUGGUGGGGUGCUCCCGAUUACGGGGUUCCCACAUGUCGGUGGCAAGGCAAAGGAAGGGCAACAUGCACCGAACAACUCCGACACGGAGCAAACACGAGAAUUUCAUACAACAUAUGCAUUCGGUCCACGGGUCAUCGUCUCGGCGGUUAUACCUUCGAAGGGUGCAUUAUCGGAAUGGAUCAAGUUCGUAGAGGGAAGUAGGCGUUCUCGCGACGGCGAUAGUGGGAGUAGUCGUUCAUGUUCGUUCGGAGAGGGAAAGAAAACAAUGGCAGCAGCAGGCAUCGCAGACAUCGGGCGUGGUCGCCUGCAGACGGCCGGAGAUGCAGCAGUAAAAGCAAAACGGCGGUGGCUCCCGAAACUAGACAGCGCGUGGAGGGAGGAGCUCGAGGACGCAAGCGGGGCAGUGGUGCUGGCGAUGGUCGAGGACGACGAAAAGGAUGGUGCUCUGGGCGCUGGACAGGAGGUCGAGCUGCGAGGCCAUGAGAGACGCGGCGCGAAGGACUCGGGCUCCUGGCGCGAGCGGGAACGGGAAGACCGGCGCGGCUCCGGGGUAGCGUGCAGAGGAAGGAGUAGCUCCGGCAGUGGCGGUCGCUGGCAGGCGCAGUAG
rnacentral:rRNA from 1 species